rnacentral:rRNA from 1 species
CCCGGUGGAGUUUCGUCUUUAAACGGUUGCUGUUUAGAGCAGUACGAAGGUAGCGCAGUAAAUCGUCCUUUGAUUUGGGAAUAGUAUGAAUGGCUUGACGUGAGGAGGUCUGUCUCGGACUCAUUUGUUGAUGUUUAUUUCUGUGUGAAAAGGCUCAGAUUUUUUCAUUAGACGAGAAGACCCCGUCGAGCUUGAUGGGGGCUGGGGUAUCGUUCUUAGUUCGAAGUUUAGCUGGGGUGACUUGAUGCAGAAUUAACGCAUUUGAAGUAUUAGGUGUGAAGAUCCUCUAUUAGGGACAUGAAGAAAAAGCUACCGCGGGGAUAACAGCGUAAUGUCCUUGGAAAGGUCUUAUUGAAGAGGGGUGUUGCGACCUCGAUGUUGAAUUAGGGUUUCGUCUUGGCGCAGCCGUUGAGAUAGUGGGACUGUUCGUCCUUUAAAAUUCUACGUGAUCUGA